ACGUGGCCCCAAGACCAGCUGGAAGCUCGCGCCGCUGUUGCUGCUGCAGCUAGAAAAUCGCUCUAGCUCUCUGGAGCCUCCUUGAGGGGCUGAGCGCGGCUGGGACUGACUGUCCUUGCACCAUGUUACUGCAGUUGGAGAGGUAUCAGCGAGAGUGGCGAGAGCUGGAAGAGGAAUUUCAGCAGCUCCAGGAAACUCACAAGGUCUAUAGACAGAAACUUGAAGAACUCAAUAACUUGCAGACUGCAUGCAGCAGCUCCAUUCGUAAACAGAAGAGGAAAAUAAAAGACUUGAAAUACAGCCUCCAACGGUGCAAACACAUGUCUAGUCCUGAAGAAUCUGAUCUCAUACAGCAAAUUAACACCCAGAUCAAAGACAGGCAAAAUGUUUUCUUUGACAUGGAAGCCUAUUUACCAAAGAGAAAUGGGUUGUACUUAAAUCUGGUACUGGGAAAUGUGAAUGUAACUCUUCUAAGUAAUCAGGCAAAGUUUGCCUACAAAGAUGAAUAUGAAAAAUUCAAACUUUAUUUGACAAUAAUCUUGUUACUUGGUGCUGUAGCAUGCAGGUUUAUUCUUCAUUACAGGGUGACAGAUGAAGUGUUUAACUUCCUGUUGGUGUGGUAUUACUGCACAUUGACAAUAAGGGAAAGCAUUCUCAUCAGCAAUGGAUCAAGGAUUAAGGGCUGGUGGGUGUCUCAUCAUUAUGUCUCCACAUUUCUAUCUGGAGUAAUGUUAACAUGGCCAGAUGGACUCAUGUAUCAAAUGUUUCGCAAUCAAUUUUUAGCGUUUUCAAUUUUUCAGAGCUGUGUACAGUUCCUACAAUAUUAUUAUCAAAGUGGUUGCCUUUACAGACUCCGUGCAUUAGGGAAAAGAAACCACUUGGAUCUUACAGUAGAAGGAUUUCAGUCUUGGAUGUGGCGAGGGCUGACCUUCCUUCUUCCCUUCCUGUUCUUUGGGCAUUUUUGGCAGCUCUAUAAUGCAAUCACACUUUUUGAACUGUCUAGGCAUACGGAAUGCAAAGAAUGGCAGGUCUGUUUUGCAGCCGAUAAGUAUUAGAGGGACUCCUCGGCAGAAGUGACUUACUUCAGGAUACCACUGAUGGUGGAAAAUGAAACAUUUAGGGUACGUCUAUACUUCCUUCCUGGUCCGGAUGUAAGCGAUCGAUCUUCGGGGAUCGAUCCCGGAAAGUGCUUGCCAUCGACGCCGGUACUCCAGCUCAGCGAGAGGAGUACGCAGCAUCGACGGGGGAGCCUGACUGCCGCAUCUGGACCCGCGGACACAAAGCCAUAUGGUGCAGGAUCUGAAACAUGAAGACUGGAUUGUCAUUCACUAGUAGAGACAAAUGCAGGAGUCUAGACUGGAAGCUUAUUACUGAUUAAAAACUGUGGAAUUGGCAAGGGUCUUAUUGACAUACAGAGUUCAAUGGGCAGGAAGCAUGCCUACUUUUUGCCAGAUGUGAAUGCAGCAUAAUAAAAAGGCUUAAAUAACAAAUGCCCCUCUCUUACCGACGUCAGUGAAUGGAGCAAGGUAAUGAGCAUGACAACUGCCACCCCUCAGAUGGAUUGCCAUCCAUUAGUGAGCACGUAGCCUCACCAAACUACACUGCGCAGCAUGCCCAGUUCUAAAGAGUACUACUACCAGCUGCUAGCUGAUUUUACAAGAUACACAGCAACAUGAGCCAGUCUUAACUGAUCUAUGAAAUGGGCCUUAAGAGCUGCUGAUACCGCCUGGAAAUGUUUGUAAAAAUUUCUUUUUAGGAAUAAUUUGACGUGUGGGGAAUUCAUUUUACUAUUCACACAUUCACAUAAGAAAACUGGUCUGCUUAUUUCCCUGUAUUUAUGACAUACCAGUCACCUUCAAACCAGAGCAUUGUGAUGUCACACUGAGCAAGCGUCUGGAGGUGGCCAAUCAGCACCAGAGGCAGUUGAACUAAGAAAUCAAAGAUCCUGUUUCAUCAAAGGCCAAUACUUCAAUAGGAUGUUUUUCAAAGUUUUCCAGAAGGCACCAGCGGAUGUUUAAGAAGACAGUGAAGACUCUGAUGACCACUUGAGUGCUGACCCAUGUGUCAGGUAUGUCAGCAGGAAGUUUUUGACUUUCCAAGAAGUGAGUCAGGGAUGCCAAUCCUUUUUGCAUUAUUAUUUUCAUAUAUUUACUGAGCACCAUGUGUGCCUGAUACUAUACAAAAACACAGAGGCAAUUCCUGUCCAAAGGCUAUCACAAAUAAAAUCUUUGCAUCAGCAUUACGUAGAGUGUACCCCUCUGCUAACCAUUAUUUCAACAUACUUUCUAAUAUACAGCUGUUGUAUCAUGGUAUUCAACACAAAGCCCUACACUACUUAUUGUACUCAAAAUGCUUGACUCCAAAGUAUGGUGCUAUCAGGAAGGGCAUGGAUACAGAAAGAACAAUAUUGCUACAGAGCAUUCAAAUCUUUCACCUGAAUAUUUAACCCCUGCUGGUAACAGGAUUUCCAACUAUUUGCAUAAAGGGAUGGUGGGGGGUUAGGACCCAAUUCUACAUGGUGCCCAGAGCCCUUAAUUUCAGUGGAGUUAAGAGCAUUUAGUAUUUCAGAGGAGACGCUCCAAAACAGUGCAGAAUUGGGCCCUUAAACUUUUAAUCCCAGAAUAAGACAAUUAAGGAAUUUAUUGUGCUCUGCAGUGUUUAUAUAACAUGCAACAACUGUAUUUCUAAUCCUUCUCAUUUUCUGAAAUCCACCUCGUUGUUUGCACCAGAUUUACCACUUUUUUUGGGGGGGGGAGGGGGGUGUCAUAUAAUGCUUUGCUUAGGUGAUCAUCUAAAGUUGUAUUAAAUUUCAGGAGAAAAAAAAUAAGAAGGAAAUUAGUUGUAAAGCAGUAUGGCUGGGAUGUGUGUUUGUACACGUGCUUCUUUCACUCACGUUUAUUACUCUUAACCUGCACAAAGGCAACUUUAUGAAAUCAAGCUAUCCUCUAGCAGCCAGUUAUAAAAUUACCCACAGUAACUACUCCAGCCUCUCAACUCAUUUGCUGCUACUUUGCCAUAACAUUUGUGAUUGGUGAAGCAGAUUGAUGGAUGUUCCAUUUUACAAAGUCAUGAUGACCUGCCCAAGUUGGAACAGAGCAAAAACACUUAGUCUGAUGAACAUGCUAGGGAUCUCAAAAGAGCUGCUUUUGAUGGUGUAAAUGAAACUGAUGUGCCAUAAUGAGAAACAGAACAGAUAGAUAUGACAUCACAGGGCUUUGUCUUCACAGUCAAAGUUGAGGGUGGGUUGAGAAGAACCAGGUAUUUAUUUUUAAUUGUAGACUAAGAUAACCAGAUAAAGACAUGAGGAAAUGUAGAUUUACACAGGCUUAACAUGUUUUUUCUUACGUAUUUUAUACACCUCAGGAAUGGCAAAUACAGAGCAUAGCAAAAGCUAAAAUACACACACCAUAAUGGGAAGGCUAGAAAGGACAUGGUUUAUGGAAAUAUAACAUGAUCUGAUUCCAGAGAGUGCUUAUUUGUUUCUCUUCAACUCUGCCAAAAUUAACAGCUUUAGAGUUGUUCUUAAAAAUAGUUGUGUUAUAACUUUAGCAGGCUGAAACUCAUCUUAAACAACAUUGGAAGAAGGACACUUUCAAGUUCUCUGUUGCAAAUAUAGAUACUUUAGCACUUAUCUUGUGGUAGAUAUAUAUAUAGAAUAGUGCAAUAGGAAAUGUUUGCCCGUAUGUGAA